rnacentral:ncRNA from 12 species
ACAGCCUGAGGACCGGAAAACCUGCCGCCGGCCCGCCUUGACAUAUUUUUUUAUCAAGGAAACAAGGUGGAUGUGGGGAACGCAGUCCCACCAGGCUGU